rnacentral:lncRNA from 1 species
UUUCUUCUUCAAUUUUUUUCAGUUUUUGUUUUGUUUACAAGUAUUUAUUUUUGUUAUGCAAUAUAUAAUGAGAUUGCAAUGGAUUUUUGUUCAUGGAUUAGAUUAUGAUUGAUUGGUUCCUUUCAAAUUAUUGCAUUUGUUGUGGUUCCUAAUUGUAUUGAUACAUAAUUUUUUUUGUCUUUGGAUCCAGAGGUGUCUACGUUCGGAGGGAGGGAGGCCAUUGUUUGCUUGAUUGUCCUGAUUCCCUCUUUAUCGUUUAUUUGCUCUGUUUUUUAUUUGGUAAAAUUAAAGGAAUUGAAUUUGGAUAAGCAAAUGAGAGAGAGAGAGAGAGAGAGAGAGAGAGAGGUAAAAGGAGCAAGGAGAUGGAGAUAGAGGGGAGGAGAGACAAAAAUGGGAUGGAGGGAGAUAGACUGGAGAGGGGAGAGGGACAGAAGGAUAAGGGUAUUAUAGGUUAGUUCCAUUAUAACUGACCAGUUCUCCCAAAUCUACAAAUCCCAUUCAUGACGCUUCAUUUUAAUCAUUACAAAAACAUAAGCUUCCAUACUACAGAAUCAAAUUACAGAAUUUACAUUUACAAUCUCCAUAAGGAUUUUAAUCAGAUAAUUCCUAAAUGACCAUAAAAUCAAACCAAAAAACAUGUGAAACAAGAUUUGUUAUGGGUCGAUGCAAUGUAUAUGAACUUCACGAAGUUAAAUGGUGGAAUAUUCAACAUUAAUUAGCUGGGUGAGGAUUACUCGAGCUUAUGUCUGAAGUGUACACAAAAUUAACUUGGGAUGGAGGGAGAUAGACUGGAGAGGGGAGAGGGACAGAAGGAUGAGGGUAUUAUAGGUUAGUUCCAUUAUAACUGACCAGUUCUCCCAAAUCUACAAAUCCCAUUCAUGACGCUUCAUUUUACUCAUUACAAAAACAUAAGCUUCCAUUCUACAGAAUCAAAUUACAAAAUUUACAUUUACAAUCUCCAUAAGGAUUUUAAUCAGAUAAUUCCUAAAUGACCAUAAAAUCAAACAAAAAAAAAAGUGAAACAAGAUUUGUUAUGGGUCGAUGCAAUGUAUAUGAACUUCACGAAGUUAAAUGGUGGAAUAUUCAACAUUAAAUAGCUGGGUGAGGAUUACUCGAGCUUAUGUCUGAAGUGUAUACAAAAUUAACUUGUUGGAAUCCUGAUUCAUUUUGAAUUUUCCAGAUUUAAUAUUAUGCUACUGCCUGUUGUUACUAUCUGUAAUCAAUAAUCAUAAUUUUGCUUGGGAAAAUGACCACAAAUGUUUGCAUCCAUGUUUCUACCUCAAGGAGUUUAGCUAUUUUGAGUUUGAUUUUUUAUAGGAUUCUUCCUUAGAUAAUUGUUGCCAACCAUUUUGUUCUGAACUGUGUUUAUGCCAUUGUAUUGUUAAAAUAUGGAGUCUAAUAAUAUAUUAUGGACUGUACACCAUGCCCUACUGUCGCAGAUCCGCCGGG